AGUGAGACUGACUGCGUCGGGGUUGAGACUGGGUGGAUGAGGCUCACCCCGGCGGGGAGAAGGGACGAGGAGGGGCGGACAGCGGAAGGUCCGGGAGUGUCCGCCAUAAAGUCGUUUGAGUUUUAACUUCUAGUCAUGGCGAAUGAUCGCAGGAGAGCACAGACUGGACCCUGCUACGAUCUCUCUUGGAGUGGAUCAGACUGAUGAUCACCAACAACCAACUCAUUCCCGGAUAAGGAAGAAGAGAGUGUCACCUACUUCAGUGUGGUUUCAACCCUACUUCUGCAUCUUAAAGACACUUGUACAACGUUGGACACUGUGCAGGAUGAUGCCACUUCAUCUUGGAUGCUAAUCUGCCAUGUUGACUUCUGAUUAACCCCAGGCCCAGGAAUGCCUCAAGAUUUCUACUUUACUUACUGUUGCUUGUAAUAAAAGAAAUGACAGCCACCAUAGAGGAACUAGCCAAAGUUAAU
rnacentral:lncRNA from 1 species